rnacentral:tRNA from 1 species
CUGUAGCUCAGUUGGAUAGAGCAACGGCCUUCUAAGCCGUGGGUCGAGGGUUCGAAUCCCCCCAG